rnacentral:lncRNA from 1 species
GAGAGGGGCACGUGAGAGAGAAGGGGUAAGAGAGAAAUUGACCCGUUUAGCCGGAUCCGAGCCGCAUCCUUGACCCGGCUCCAGCUGUUGAUUCCGGCCACCUCACCGGCCGAGCUUGGUACCGAUUUGAAGCUUGAGCGACUCCGGUCGCUGACAUCGUCACCGGAAAGUAGCCAGCACGCCGGCGAUCGAAGCUUGAAAGACCGCGGCUCAACCCGUUUUCGGCACCGUCAAUCUCAUCGGAAUUAGGUUGCACCACCGGUUGGGUUCGACUCCUCACGUCGCUAGCUUUCAUUUCCGACCAACCCCGCCACCUGAAACCUCCGUUUUGGCCGUGAACGACCGCCGGAAAGCUCACGGAUUUGGGAGCAUGAUCCGCCGCCAUCACCGCGCGUGUAAGGUCACCGCCGGCACCUUUGGACUCACCGAGGUCUGAAAUAUCAGACCUAAGCUUCCCGUCGUCGUUGACUAAGUCUGGUCACCGUUGACCGGCAGGGUCAAUUCGGUAAUUUUACAAGACUUUGGGGUAAAUUUGUAAUUUGAAGAAAUGAUGGAUAAAUUGGUAAUUUCAUAUUAGGGCAGUGAGGUAAUUUAAGAUUUUGGGGGUAAUUCAGUAAUUUACGUUGUUAAGGACAUUUUGGUAAAUUUACACUCCGAGGGUAAUUUCGUAAUUUCUUACAUUGUGGUUAUUUUUAUAAUCUGAAUUGAGGUUAGCUUGGUAAUUUAAGAUUACGAGGAUAAUUGGGUAAGUAUUGAUGUCGGGGACAUUUUGGUAAUUUUGGCAUGCAUGGGUAUUUUGGUAAUUUGAGGCAUACAAGAAUAGUUGAUUAUGAAUGAAUAUUUGUUUCGAGCUCUAAUGCGUAAUAUUAGUUGUAUUUCACAUUUACGGAAAAAUAAUUAUGUCGUUUACUUGAUUACAAGGACCUGCGAACAAGAAUCAACUCGUGGACACUGUUGAUACCGAGUUUGAACAUCGUCAUUAUGAGUGGAAUAUACAAAACUUAUUUUCAUAGUAUAUUCUGAUUUUACCAUACAGUACAACAUAUUUUGAUAAUAAGUAUUUGAUGCUUCGAUUUAAUGAUUUUUUAGAAAAUUGAUUUUUUUUUAUCUCCGUGCUGAUAUUUAUUGUUAUUAAGAAUGAGUUUGAUUAAUGAUUUUAUUGUCGUUUUUGAGUAAAUGCAUGAUAUUAGAAUUCAGUGGAUUUGAGAUAUGUUAAAUAAAAAGGAAAUGUGAUUAUAUGUUUAUGUACAUGUGUAUAAAAAGUUGUUUGGAAAAUCAUUGGACAGUACCUUUCUCCUUUAGAUACAGAGAUACAAAUUAUAUGAGAUGAAUCACGGAUUUGGGAGCAUGAUCCGCCGCCAUCACCGCGCGUGUAAGGUCACCGCCGGCACCUUUGGACUCACCGAGGUCUGAAAUAUCAGACCUAAGCUUCCCGUCGUCGUUGACUAAGUCUGGUCACCGUUGACCGGCAGGGUCAAUUCGGUAAUUUUACAAGACUUUGGGGUAAAUUUGUAAUUUGAAGAAAUGAUGGAUAAAUUGGUAAUUUCAUAUUAGGGCAGUGAGGUAAUUUAAGAUUUUGGGGGUAAUUCAGUAAUUUACGUUGUUAAGGACAUUUUGGUAAAUUUACACUCCGAGGGUAAUUUCGUAAUUUCUUACAUUGUGGUUAUUUUUAUAAUCUGAAUUGAGGUUAGCUUGGUAAUUUAAGAUUACGAGGAUAAUUGGGUAAGUAUUGAUGUCGGGGACAUUUUGGUAAUUUUGGCAUGCAUGGGUAUUUUGGUAAUUUGAGGCAUACAAGAAUAGUUGAUUAUGAAUGAAUAUUUGUUUCGAGCUCUAAUGCGUAAUAUUAGUUGUAUUUCACAUUUACGGAAAAAUAAUUAUGUCGUUUACUUGAUUACAAGGACCUGCGAACAAGAAUCAACUCGUGGACACUGUUGAUACCGAGUUUGAACAUCGUCAUUAUGAGUGGAAUAUACAAAACUUAUUUUCAUAGUAUAUUCUGAUUUUACCAUACAGUACAACAUAUUUUGAUAAUAAGUAUUUGAUGCUUCGAUUUAAUGAUUU